ACUUGCUUGCCCCUCAUUAAAAAAAAAUCGCCCCACUUGUGAAAAGGAUUAAAUCCUGUUAAAUAUACAAUGUACUCCUGCCAACAGUGGCAACUUGCCUAACUUGGGUAAAAUCCAAAUGAAUAUAAUCAUGAUAAUAUAUAAUAAAUAUAUUAUAAACAGAUAAAGGUCUACCAACUCGCCCUACAUGUACUUUAAAAAAAUGAAAACUUAUCUACCCAGAAUUUAAAAAAAAAAUUGAAAUUUAAUAUAUGAUAUUUAUUGAAUUUAAAUGAUGUUUCACUUCUUAAAAUAUAAUUGUAGAUUCAUUAUUUACUAUUAUUUAAUUUAUGUAUUUAUUUGAAAAUAACUUUAUUCUUGCAUUAGCUUAGUUAUUUGCAAAAUAAUUGCAAAGAAACCUGUUAAUUGUAUCAUAAUCUAUCUGAUUGUUUUUUAGCCGACUCAAAAUCAUGCUGUUAAUUAGGGCCCCCUGUUGUACAUGUACUUAGGAAUCGGACACCUCCAGAAGAUGAAAGAUCUACUUUACAUCUUUUUCAACGAAAGUACAAUUACUUUGAGAAGUAGGAGAAGCUAAGCAACAGGACAGAAUUCAUUUGAGGCAUUGCUUUCUAGAUUAUAUAGUGGAGUCAUAGAUUGUCCUAUUGAUUUAUGUGGAUAUGAGGAGCAGUAGUCAAUGAAUAAUUUUGUGAUGAGAGCUGUACAUUGUAUUACAACAAAUGGACAGAGGAGUUGACUAUUGAUAGUGACUGAUAAUGGACUGGAGUAACCUAGGGUCCAAUGACUCCAUGCCUGACAGUCCAUGUGUACAUAAUUAGCUCCUCAGAUGUAAGUGGAAGGGAAGCUAUAUACAUUAUAUGUUUAAAUGAAAUUAACAACAGGAUUAGAUAUUGAGGAUAUCCUAUAGCUACAGUAUAUAUAAAUGUAACUACAACUGUAUUCCAAGAGUCUGAUGGCUGAUAAUGUAUUACAGAAUUUUAUCAUUCAAGCAACAUCUUAGAAGGAUAAGUGCAAAUGUAUGAAGGAAGCCUUGGGUACAAAUAGCAAUUACAGCAAUUACAUGCAGGAGAGAACUCUUAACAUUACUAACAGACAUGUAGUUGUUAUAUGGGAGUGGUGUAUUCAAGAAAUCUAAAACACAUGGAAUUAAAUAUCGUGUAUAUUUUUUCAACCACAAGUACUCUCAGAAUAUAAUACAAUUCAAAUUCAAAUUAUUGUGCCAACAUGACAAUUACAGUCUAAAAAUGGAAAAUGCAUGUUUUAAACUGAUUUUUAUAUAAAUAUUUGAAAUAACAAGAA